rnacentral:rRNA from 1 species
UACGUAGGGUGCGAGCGUUAAUCGGAAUUACUGGGCGUAAAGCGUGCGCAGGCGGUUUUGUAAGCCAGAUGUGAAAGCCCCGGGCUUAACCUGGGAAUGGCAUUUGGGACUGCAAGGCUUGAGUGCGGCAGAGGAGACUGGAAUUCCUGGUGUAGCAGUGAAAUGCGUAGAUAUCGGGAGGAACACCAGUGGCGAAGGCGGCGAUCUGGGAAGAUACUGACGCUGAGGUGCGAAAGCGUGGGGAGCAAACAGG